rnacentral:lncRNA from 1 species
AAGAACAUAGGUUGGACAUGAACCUAGUGUUAAAGAAAGUAGUUAAACAAAGUUUAACCCAAAGUGACAUUGUGGCUUGGUAUUAGCGGUAUAUGCAUGAUUAGGUAAAAACCUAUCAUUUGGCAUUGAGGCAUAGAGAUAUGGAACAGGUUGGCUAUACCUCCUCAAAUUGAGGAUGGGAUCGUACUCACAUGUAUCGGUUCCGGCUUGUGCGAGGUCGCUCCUCUACAGGCGGUGUACUCCGGAGUAUAGACACCACGGGUGAGAGUGCCCGGCGAAGAUCCCUCGGGUGACAGUGCCUUGUGCCUUCCUCGGUAGACGGGAUGGAUCCCUCGGGGCAUUUCCUAAUGCUAAACCCGGUAGAUGGGACAUGUGAGAUGUGAGCUUGGGGCGAAUUUGAU